rnacentral:rRNA from 1 species
GACGAACGCUGGCGGCGUGCUUAACACAUGCAAGUCGAACGGAAAGGCCCUGCUUUUGUGGGGUUCUCGUGUGGCGAACGGGUGAGUAACACGUGAGUAACCUGCCCUUGACUUUGUGAUAACUUCAGGAAACUGGGGCUAAUACCGGAUAGGAGCUCCUGCUGCAUGGUGGGGGUUGGAAAGUUUCGGCGGUUGGGGAUGGACUCGCGGCUUAUCAGCUUGUUGGUGGGGUAGUGGCUUACCAAGGCUUUGACGGGUAGCCGGCAUGAGAGGGUUAACGGCGACAUUGGGACUAAGAUACGGAGCAGAAGGGUACGGGAGGCAGCAGUGGGGAAUAUUGCACAAUGGGCGGAAGCAUGAUGCAGAAACGGCGCGAGCGGGAAGACGGGCUUCGGGUUGAAAACAGAUUUGGAAUGUGACGAAGCGUGAGUGACGGUAAUGGGUAAAGAAGCAACGGCUAACUACGUG